AUGAACGCUGGCGGCGUGCCUAAUACAUGCAAGUCGAACGAAUCUCUUCGGAGAUGAGUGGCGAACGGGUGAGUAAUACAUAGGUAACCUGCCCCUGUGCGGGGGAUAACAGGAGGAAACUCCUGCUAAUACCGCAUAGCCAUGAGCACCGCAUGGAGCUCAUGCCAAAUAUCCUUUAUGGGAUAGCGCAGGGAUGGACCUAUGGCGCAUUAGCUGGUUGGCGGGGCAACGGCCCACCAAGGCAACGAUGCGUAGCCGGCCUGAGAGGGCGGACGGCCACAUUGGGACUGAGACACGGCCCAGACUCCUACGGGAGGCAGCAGUAGGGAAUUUUCGGCAAUGGGGGAAACCCUGACCGAGCAACGCCGCGUGAGCGAAGAAGGCCUUCGGGUCGUAAAGCUCUGUUGUAAAGGAAGAACGGCGCAUACAGGAAAUGGUAUGCGAGUGACGGUACUUUACCAGAAGCCACGGCUAACUACGUGCCAGCAGCCGCGGUAAUACGUAGGUGGCGAGCGUUAUCCGGAAUCAUUGGGCGUAAAGAGGGAGCAGGCGGCCGCAAGGGUCUGUGGUGAAGAAAGACCGAAGCUAAACUUCGGUAAGCCAUGGAAACCGGGCGGCUAGAGUGCGGAAGAGGAUCGUGGAAUUCCAUGUGUAGCGGUGAAAUGCGUAGAUAUAUGGAGGAACACCAGUGGCGAAGGCGACGGUCUGGGCCGCAACUGACGCUCAUUCCCGAAAGCGUGGGGAAGCAAAUAGGAUUAGAUACCCUAGUAGUCCACGCCGUAAACGAUGGUCACUAAGUGUCGGGGGUCAAACCCCGGUGCUGCAGUCAACGCAAUAAGUGACCCGCCUGAGUAGUACGUUCGCAAGAAUGAAACUCAAAGGAAUUGACGGAA
rnacentral:rRNA from 1 species